GCCGGGUGUAGUGGUGCACACCUGUAGUCCCAGCUACUUGGGAGGCUGAGACAGAAGAAUCGCUUGAACUCGGGAGGCAGAGGUUGCAGUGAGCCAUGAUGGCGCCACUGCACUCCAGCCUGGGUGACAGAGCGAGACUCCAUCUCAA
rnacentral:SRP_RNA from 1 species